GGGUAUAGCUCAGUGGCAGAGCAUAUGCUUAGCAUGCACAAGGCUCUGGUUUCAAUCCUCAGUACCUCCA
rnacentral:tRNA from 1 species